AAACGUAGGAGGCGAGCGUUAUCCGGAUUUACUGGGCGUAAAGCGCGUGCAGGCGGUUUGGUAAGUCGGACGUGAAAGCUCCCGGCUCAACUGGGAGAGGCCGUUCGAAACUGCCAGACUAGAGGGCAGCAGAGGGAGGUGGAAUUCCGGGUGUAGCGGUGAAAUGCGUAGAUAUCCGGAGGAACACCAGUGGCGAAGGCGGCCUCCUGGACUGUCCCUGACGCUAAGACGCGAAAGCGUGGGGAGCAAACAGGAUUAGAUACCCCAGUAGUCC
rnacentral:rRNA from 1 species